rnacentral:lncRNA from 1 species
CAUGCGUGAAAUGAAAUUAUAUAAAAUAAUCUAAUGAAACCAAAGAUAUUCAUAAAUUAAAAUUGAUGAAGAAAAGUUUAAGAGGUCCAGACCAGACAACCCGAAGAGGUCCCGGACCAAAACCCGAGAAAAGCAACGAUGAUGAAAUGUAAUAAAAAUAAAGAUGGGAAUAAAAUAAAAUUGAAAUGAAAUAAAUUAGCAAAUAAAUAAAGGAACGAAACAAAAGAAUCAGGCAGAUGAGAAAAGAAAAAACGACGCCGCAACAAUAAAAAGAAAGGGGGAAAAAGGGGGUGAGCCCAUCUUCAUCUUCUCAAAAUUAGAUAACCUAAAGGAGCAUUGCCCUUUUUACGCAUGUGUGUCACUGCUAUCACGAAACCUUAGUCAUCGUCGGUAACACCACCGGGUUCAUCUUUUCUCGUUCCUCUUCUUGCGCGAGAGGGAAGCACUCUCAUACCCCGAGACUCACUCUUACAGCUACCACGAGGUUUGCCGUUACCGGUGUCGGAGAAACUGCCGACGUCUGUCACUAUCGUCACUGGCGGUCGGUUCUCCUAUUAUUCUAUCCUCUGUUUCCGAUCGGAUUGGUAUCUCGCCUGACGGGUACACGGGUGGUUUCGUGACCGAAGAUAUGGAAAAAGAUUGGUGUUUGCGAUUUGAUCCUAGCGGAUUUGUUUGGUGCAGGUGAAAAACUAUGGUGAGAUUAGGUGAGGUGGGCAAGAGUGAUAUCUGCCGUUAAUGAGAAGGGAAUUUAUUUUUAAGCAUACGUUUCUGCUCUCAAUGAUUAUCGGUGUUUCAUGGUUGUCUCCGCUCUUUGCUCUUGUGAUGAGAGUAUGUGGUGGGGGUAUAUGGCGAGGCAAUGUUUGUGAUGUUAGGGAUGGUUUCAACGCGAUAGCAGCGAGGGAUUUGGACAAUGAAAGGAUUCGGACAAUGAAGACGAUAUAUAGCACGAGCAGCGAAGGAAAGUAGCAUAAAAGAAAAGACUAUUUCGCAUACACAAAAUCAAUAUCAAUCCAUAUAUGCAGAUAAUGCCACUCAGUAAACUAGAGUUAGACGACUUACCUCUAAAAGGAUGACUUUGUUUCUACUUUGUAUCGGUGCAAAUCUUCCUCCUAUAGCCAACGCUUUUUCUUCCUCGCUCCUCUGAACGUGACUGUGUUCCUUUUUUUCUUGUAGAUGCCCCUUGGUGAAUGAAAAUAAUAUAUCUUCACCAGUUCCCUCAGGCGCGAUAAAGGAAAUCAAAUCACCUCGAUAAUCAGUCUCGCCGGAUUUUUAGGAAACUAAUUUCCCUCCCCAGAAAAACGUCCCUCUCUUUCAUUUCUCUGUUUCCUUUCCGGAUGAUCAAGGCGUAUUCCCCGAUAAUUUCCUCCUUGUUUCUUUCUUCUUUUUAUGUUUCAAUUGGAUCGAGUAAGGAAACAAUUUAAAUAUUCCUUCCCCUUUGUAACUGAUUGCAGCUAAUUGGUAUCCAAUUGCAGUUACUUUAUUUGAUUGCAGUAAUGUGUAAAGAUGCUCGUUGUGGAAUGUGAUAUUUUGCAGAAAGAGCUGAUUUUGCUUCUCACUUGUUUUUUGAAUUUUUUUCUUAAAAGAGACCAAAUAUAGUAAACUAACGUAAAAAUCAGAAUAAUAACGUCACAUAAUUAUAUACAUUCACGUAAAAUAAAUACAGAAUCAACAUAAAGCAAUAUACUAGGAAAAUGAAAUAAAAAUAGAUAUAAAAUAAAAUAAAGUAUGACUA